GUUGAAGACAGGAUGUCCGCGCGCUGAACACAUAGGCACGUGAGACGAAGACCCGGUGAACUGAAACAUCUUAGUAGCCGGAGGAAAAGAAAACAAUUUGAUCUUUUAUCUAGGUUGGUGACCUUUCACCGAUUUGGAUAAGAGAUUUCCAUUCCCUGAGUAGUGGCGAGCGAAAAGGGAGCAGCCCAAACCAUCAAGACCACGUACGUAUUUUUUCACUUCGGUGAGACAACGCGUGCUGAAGGAAUUAGGUCCAUAUGUCUUAGUGGUGUUGCAAGAUAGCCGUGCUCACUACCUAAUGCGGUGAGGUGAUUUCGUAUUUUAUUAGUUGAAUUGAGUUGGAAAACUCGGCCAGAGACGGUGAUAGCCCGGUAAACGAAAAUAAUUUACGCGUCAUGAUGGCAUAUUCUUAAGUACUGCGGGACUCGUGAAAUCCCGUAGGAAUCUGGGUCGACUAUGACCCAAGGCUAAAUAUUUCUUGAGAUCGAUAGUGAACUAGUACCGUGAGGGAAAGGUGAAAAGCAUCCCGGUGAGGGAGAUGAAAUAGUAUCUGAAACCAUAUACUUACAAGCAGUCGGAGCCUUAGUUUACUAGGGUGACGGCGUGCCUAUUGAAGAAUGAGCCAACGAGUUUGUUGUAUGCGGCUUGAUUAAUCCGCUUGAAGCGGAGCAGUCACAGUGAAAGCGAGGGUUAACCCCCGUACUCUUACUUAUUAGAAACGACAGUAAGGCUUCGGCUUUAUCGUCUUUCUAAUAUGUAAGAAGGUCGCAUGCACAAGACCCGAAGCCGGGUGAUCUAACCAUGGCCAGGUUGAACCUUGUAGAAAUACAAGGGGAGGACCGAACCCGUAAGUCGUGCAACACUUUGGGAUGAGCUGUGGUUAGCGGAGAAAUUCCAAUCGAACUCGGCAAUAGCUGGUUCUCCUCGAAAUAGCUUUAGGGCUAGCCUCGAGCGCUGAACGUAGGGGGUAGAGCACUGAAUGGGAACGGGCCGCAAGGUACCUUUCUCAACCAAACUCCGAAUACCUACGCGUGCAGCUCGGGAGUCAGACUAUGGGCGCUAAGGUCCAUUAGUCUAAAGGGAAACAGCCCAGAUCGCCAUCUAAGGUCCCUAAAUAUAUGCUAAGUGUAAAAGGUGGUGUCGUGACUGCGACAACUAGGAGGUUGGCUUAGAAGCAGCCAUCCUUUAAAGAUAGCGUAAUAGCUCACUAGUCUAGUCGUCUCGCGCCGAAAAUGUACCGGGGCUAAGCAUAUUACCGAAGAUGCGGGCUUGCCACGCAAGUGGUGAGCGGUAGAGGAGCAUUCCAAGACCGCUGAAGUCGCAACGUGAGUUGUGGUGGAGGGCUUGGAAGAGAGAAUGUUGGCAUAAGUAGCACAAAGGCGGGUGAAAACCCCGCCCACCGAAAAUCUAAGGGUUCCUGGGCAACGCAAAUCGACCCAGGGUGAGUCGGUCCUAAGGCGAGGCUGCUGUAGUGGCAGCGUAGUCGAUGGAUGAGCUGGUUAAUAUUCCAGCACUACUGUAAUUUUCCGAUGGGGGGACAAAGUUUUGAGGUUUGAGCGUCUCUAUGGUAUGGACGUCGCUGGCCGUUAGGAUAGAUCUAGGCAAAUCCGGAUCAAUAUUCCGAGCGGUUGGGGGAAGACAAAGCCUUCGGGUAGCGUCAAUUCAAGCUGAAAGAUUUUCAAGAAAAACCUCUAGGGCUAAGGUUACAGUAACCGUACCGUAAACCGACACAGGUAGAUGAGGCGAGGAGCCUCAGGUGUACGAGAGAACCCUCGUUAAGGAACUCGGCAAAAUAGCGGUCGUAAGUUAGCAAUAAGACCUGCCUGGAGCAAUCCGGGCCGCAGCGAAAGAUUCCAAGUGACUGUUUAGCAAAAACACAGCUCCCUGCUAACUCGCAAGAGGAUGUAUAGGGGGUGAUGCCUGGCCAGUGUCCGAACGUUAAGAGGAGAGGUCAUUUUCCUUCGGGAAGAGAAGCUUUGAAUUGAAGCGCGGAUGAACGCCGGCCGUAACUAUAACGGUCCUAAGGUAGCGAAAUUCCUUGUCGGGUAAGUUCCGACCUGCACGAAUGGCAUAACAACUUGGAAACUGUCUCAACGAGGGACUCGGCGAAAUUACAAGACCAGUAAAGAUGCUGGUUAACCAUAGUUGGACGAAAAGACCCCGUGAAGCUUUACUAUAGCUUGAUAUUGGGUUAGGGAUAUGUCUGUUCAGAAUAGGUGGGAGUCUUCGGACACCAGUGAGAUACCACCCUGGCAUAUUCUUAAUUCUUACUUUGCUCCGUGAAUCCGGAGAGAGGACAGUAUCUGGUGGGUAGUUUGUCUGGGGCGGAUGCCUCCUAAAAGGUAACGGAGGCGUUUACAAAGGUCGGCUAUCUCGGGAUGGAAACCCGAGAGAUAGUGUAAAGGCAUAAGCCGGCUUUACUGCAAGACCCGCAAGUCGCGCAGUUGCGAAAGCAGAACUUAGUGAUCCGACCGUACGAAAUAGAACGGCGGAAGCUCAUCGGAUAAAAGCUACUCCGGGGAUAACAGGCUAGUCACGCCCAAGCGUCCACAGCGACGGCGUGGUUCGGCACCUCGAUGUCGGCUCGUCGCAUCCUGGGGGUGGAGAAGCUCCCAAGGGUUGGGCUGUUCGCCCAUUAAAGCGGCACGCGAGCUGGGUUCAGACCGUCGUAAGACAGGUCGGUCUCCUCUCCACUAUGGUCGCGGAAAUUUGAGAAGGCUCUUCCCUAGUACGAGAGGACCGGGAAGAACGAAGCUCUAGUGUGCCAGUUGUCCUACCAAGGGCAUUGCUGGGUAGCUAUCUUCGGUUAAGAUAAACGCUGAAAGCAUCUAAGCGUGAAGCUGUCUUCAAGAUUAGAUUUCAUAGGUUGGUCAGAGACUAUGACCUUGAUAGGCUCUAGGUGUAAGCCCAGUAAUGGGUUAAGCCGAGGAGUACUAAUAAACCAUUAGAUUUUCCCA
rnacentral:rRNA from 1 species